UGUAAACUCCAAGCUUUGGAUGCUCAGAGAAUCAUAAGUAACGGGAAGCAGAAAGGCAAAGUGUAACGUGGUCCCUAGGAGACUGCAGGCUCCUCAGAGCAUCUCUAGGGAAACAGAACUCCCACACAGAGCUGAGACAACCACCCUGCUGCAGCACUGACCUUGUCCCUUCUGUAUCUUCUCCCGAGCACAUCAGUUUCCCCCCACUUGCCUAUUGAUAGGGAAACAAAAUCAUGAUUAACAGCCAAAAUUGAUUUUUUUUUUUUUUUGUUAUAACAAAUGAAUGGAUUUGAUGACAAAAAAGAUCUCUGCAGAUCCUGAUUUCCUGGUGUGCAUUGGUCUGCUCUGGCCACUCAGAUCAGCCCAGCUCUGUGUCCCUCCCCAGCCUGGAUCGCACUCAGCAGUCGGUGCUGAUCCCUUUCCCAAGGACCGAGCGGCAGAUCAGCCGGACGGGGCCAGGCUGCUGUUGAGCUUGGUGCCAUGCGACACUCCCCAAGGGACUGAUCCAGCCCCAGAGCCGUUGUGGGACAAGUGGGUGAGCUGUAUGCAGGUGUUCACAAAGCCCUCAUAGGGAACUCUGCGCCCCAGUCAACCAUGAACAUCUCCAGCCAAACGUGAAGAUGCUCAGGCUGCCAGAGCCUUCCUGGUUACAAGAUUCGAUAGCCCAGCCCGUGACAGCCCGGGCGGCUCGACCACCGCAGCCCCAGCUGUGCCAGCCGGCCCUGGACCCCGGCACAGCCCCUCGCCCAGGCGCCUGCGGAUGGAGAGACUGGGCAGGAGGAGCAGAGGAUCUGCCCUGGGUUUGGGCUUUCCUUGUCAUCCCAGCAAAGUCUUCUCCAUGGCCUGCCUGUGCUCGUGGUCCAGAUGGGGUGAGUGCCUGUGUCACCCCUGUGCCUCAUCCCCGGGGAAACCCAGCACAGCCCCCUGGGAUGCCACCACAGCCCCCUGGGAUGCCACCACAGCCCUGCUGUGAAGCCACCUGGCCAUGUGCCACUGUGACCCACCCACCCCCCCGCCCCGGCAAGGUGAGGACCCCACAGCAGUCCCACCCACAGCCCUUCCAGGGUGCAGCUCUGCCAUACCCCCAUUUGGGGUGAAGUGAGAUGUCAGAGGGCUCUGCUCACCUGUCAGAGCUGGGGACAUGGCGGGGGUGUGUGAGUCUGGGGUGAUCGCGAUGCAGCAGAGGCCCAAGCUGACCCUCUCUGGUACCUGUGUGUGCCCCCUCCUGCUGUCUGCAUGGCCGUGUUGGGGGGCUGGGGGCUGCCCCCAAGACAAUGUGGGGUGCCCAGGGCUGACCCAGACCUGGGAGGGAUUGUCCCCUCAUUUGAAGGCUGAACUGUCCCCAAGCAUCAAGUCCUCACCCUGAUGGGUGGUGGCUUUGUGUGGACAUGGCGGGUCUCAGGGUUGGGGGGGCCAAGGGCUGCUCAGCACCCACAGUGGCACCCAUGGGUUGACCCACUCGUGCCUGUGCUACAGCCUCCUCUUCCUCCUCCCCCUCCCCGCUGCUGCCAGGCUCCAAUUUGCCUCCCCUGGCUCCAGCCCAGACCUAGUCAGUGCAGGCAGCUGCCGGCAAUGUCUCUAAUGGCUCCCUGCCUGCCAGGCAGCGGGGCGUGCUGGAGGGGAGUGGGACAAGCACCCCAAUGCUCAGAGCUUGCCCGUGCAAAUACAGCACUGCAGCAAGGCUGGGAGUCCCUGCCUGAGCCACCGUCCUGGCACGUGGUGGCUGUGCCACUGGGCCCCAUGUCUUUGCCGAGUGGGACAGGGCAGGAGCCCUGACCCCAGCAGCACCCGCUCCCUCCAGGGGUGCCAGCAUGGGAUUUCUUUCCAGACAGGUCCCCCCAAAACCUCAUCCUGGUGUCUGUAAGUUUGGCAACAGCAGGUAGUGGCUGCUGCAUGCAAAGGUGAAGGCUCCUCCAUCACUUUGCCAGCUCCUGGCAGAGCAUCAGACUCAGCCAAGGAUGAGGAGGGGGCUGAGGGGCGAGAGGGCGGGGGGGUAGUGGUUCAGAGCCUCCUGCUUGGCUGAGCCCGGGCAGUUGCUCACAUCCCCGAUCCAUUAUUGCGGGCAGUGCCGGCGGGUGCUCCGGGGCAGGGACUGCAUUAUUGACGAAGGGGAAUGCAGACCCCGGCGCAGGCAUCGGUGGUGCAGGCAGGGCCCCCUCCUGCAGCACUCAGCCCCGGGCAAAGCACUUUGCCUGAGCCGCAGAGCCGCAGAGCAGGCAGGCCUGGCCCGGGGCGGCUGGCCCAGCAGCCGCAGCCACCACAGAGCGCUUGGGCCGUGACUGUUUCUGCGGCUGCGGAACAUCCUUGUUGCCCAGGAUGAUGCUGGGCUCAGGGCACCCAUGAGCACAGCCUGGGGAGGGUGACACGGGUGGGCAGCGAUGCCCUUGCAAACCCCACUCUGGCACCCGCACUGCAGCAAUUGCCCGCCUCCAGCCCGGCACAGUGCUGGUGCUGCUCUUUUUUUUAAGCCUCCCUCUGUCUCUAGGCGGAGAUUUGUGGCGUAAAAUGCACAAUAUGUUCUAUCUGCCCUGUGGGAGCCAUAAAAUAUUCACCAGCAGCUCCCAUUAUAGUCAGAGUGAAUCACGGAGAGCACUCAAGCCCUCACUCCCUGACAUGCCCUCCCUGUGCAGCCCCGGUGCAGCCGCGGGGCCCGUCGGUGCCAGUGCCAGGGCUUGAUGAGCGGCCAGUGCCCUCCUGGAUUCCACACCAAGGACCCACAUUUCCACUGCGAGCCCUGGGCGACACCCCUGGGUUCAGCAGGUCAAGGGGUGUUGAUGGCACCGAUGGGACAGCAAACAGCUUUGCCUGCCCAAGCAUCCUCGUAGCUGCCCAGGGAGGAGCAGCAUCAGCGCUGUGUGUGAUGAGGACCAGCGCGAUGGGCAGCAGGAGCAGCAGGCAGCGUGGUGGGUUCACAUGCCCACAGCAGCGUGUCCCACUCACCCUGUCCUGCCAAGCACCACCUGACAGCCCUGGGGUGACUUGUGCCAGCACUUGUUUUUUUGUGACCACAGCCCCUUGAGUCAGGGCUGUGCCAGGGCCCAGGGGACAGCCCCUGCCUGCUUGCUGCCUGCAUUGUCACACACGUGCUCCAGCCACAGCACUCAUCUUCCUCUGUCUCCACCCCAUUCCGCUGUCCAUCCUUCCGUCUGUCCUUCCCUUCUGACCCACUGCUCGUCCCCAUCUCUCCCUUCAGAGUUCCAGCUUAAGACAUGCCAGAGUCAAGCAAAGACAGAUUUACUGAUAAAGCAAUGCACUACUCUGAAGCUGAUGUGUCAAAUACGAUUUUAUCUUUUGACACACAAUUAUGUGUAAUUAUACAGCAGUUAAUGCUGGCUCAACCCUUGUGAAUCACACACAAUUAUAGUUUGAUUCCACUUCCAUGCUUUCAAUGGCCACAACACUUUUCUCAGCCCAAUUGGUGACCCUGGGCAUGUCCCCAAGGGCUCCCCACCGUGUCCCAGUGGCUCAAGGCCAUGGGCAGCAUCACUGCCAUCCACUGCCAGCCCCGCGCCUGCUCCUGGGAGAUGCUGUCCCCUCCACGCCCCAGCCCACCGAGUGUCCCCAGCCACACCAGUGCUUGUCUUGCCCAGCUUGGCAGAGCUUGUCCCCAGCGUGUUGGCUGGUGUGAUGUUCACCUGGAUGCAGCUCAGGAGAGCCGUGGCCCACACAGAAGGCAGGACGCAAUUGCCCACCUGGGCUGGCCAUGCAGGCCAGGUCACUGGGCCACCACCAGGUCACUAGGCUGGGAUGUCUAAGUGUGUCCUUGGCAUUGAGCAGCAUAGAACCUGGUGGAGGGACCCCCCAUUCACUCGUGGGACAGCCCCACGGUGGCAUUGGGGAGGGGUUUUAGCCACACAACCCACCUGGCAUCCUCAGGAGGAGCAGGGCUGGCACAGGCAGCUGCCCACAGAGGCGAGGGCAAAGGCCUGCGCAGUCGUGAGGGUUAAACCUGCCUGCGCUGACACGGCUCCUCUCCCUGAACAGACUGAGGGGAGCGCAGCAGUGCCCUCCCCGCCAAAAUUAACUCUCCAUCUGUUUCUCCCCGGCUGAGGCUGAUGGCUUGUGACAGGGCCUCCUGAAUGCAAAGAUGUUUCGCCCGGAAAAAUCUAUUACAAGUUGCUGUAAGAAAGACCGAAAUCCUCUCCUUCUGUCUCUCCGUACUGGUCUCAAGGUGCCCACCCCAGGCGAGAGCGGGCUGGCGUGCAGCCGGCCGCCUCCGUUCAGCCGGAAAGCUCUCCCCAGCGCCAGCCUGCCUCGCCCCCGGCCCGCGCGGGGCAGCAGGAGGGAGGAUGGGUGCUGCCCGGGGCAGUGGUGGGGACGGAGAAGCUGCUCCAUCCCCAACCGGGCCUGGUGUCGGUGAUGCACUGGGCAUGGCUCUGGCACUGUCACACCCCUCGGCCAUCCCGGAGUCUGUUGUUGUGCAGAUGGGGAAACUGAGGCAGGAGGGGCCUGAUCCUGGCUCGGACAUGGAGCUCCAGGGCGGCUUUGGCUGCUCUCGGGGAGCCGGAGCCUCCGGCCGGGGCGGGCAGGGUGCGGGCAGCAGGCAGCAGGCAGCGUGCGGGCAGCAGGCAGCAGGCAGGGUGCGGGC